GAUGAAGAACGUAGCGAAAUGCGAUAAGUAAUGUGAAUUGCAGAAUUCAGUGAAUCAUCGAAUCUUUGAAUGCAUCUUGCACUCCUUGGUAUUCUGAGGAGCAUGCCUGUUUGAGUGUCAUUAAAUUCUCAACUACACUGACUUUGAAUUGGUGUGGCUUGGAUUUGGGGGGAAAAUUGUUGUGGGCUUUUUGUAUAGUCUGCUCCCCUGAAAUUGAUUAGCGGUACCUUUGUGGAACUGUCUACAGGUGUGAUAAUUAUCUACAUCUUAGACAUCUGCUGGAAUGCUGCUUUCUAAAACUAACUUGUAUUGACAAUCUUGACCUCAAAUCAGGUAAGACUACCCGCUGAACUUAAGCAUAUCAAUAAGCGGAGGA
rnacentral:misc_RNA from 1 species